GCAAACUCUGUGUCAUAAACCCCAACAUCUCACAGAUGAAAAUGACCAAGCAACAUCAGCAUGUGGUCAAGAUGACGCUAGCAACAGGAGAGGACAGACAAGCAGUUGAACUAAGGACAAAAAGGAAAAAUGGAAAGAGAACAGGCAUUGAAAAUGGAAUGAGGGGGAGCAUACCAUCAGGACUGUCCCUGACAAGUUGGGAUAAUGGGAGGUUGCAGAAAAUGAACACAUCAAGCUACUCUGGGACUUCCAAAUUCAGACUGACAGAGUUUUGGAGCACAAUACUCCUGACCUCACGAUCAAUCGUGUUAAAAAACUAAGCAUGGAUCAUCGAUGUUGCAAUCCCAGGUGACAGCAGGAUUGAAGAGAAACAACUGGAAAAGCUGACACGAUAUGAGGAUUUAAAGAUCAAACU